GCCGCCACCGCGCUAUCGGCAACUUUCAAUUGCUUAUAGUAUAUAAAAGGCGCAAUAAUAACAAAAGAGAAACUUACGUUAAAUAGACACCGCCUCGACAUAUUUGUACAUUCCUUAUGUGUGGUGACUAAAACAAAGAAUUACCGAAUUACCCAUUAAAUAUUAAUACAUUUCGAUAGAUAGGGAGCAGUCCUAGAGUGUUAUUCCAUCAUUUGUGCUAUAAACCAGAUAUUGUGUUUUUUUUUGAAACUGCAACGUAUUCAUUACUAUGGCAGACGAUUUACAAAAUUACAAAUGCCAAUUGCAGCAAACGGCAGUUUUGUCCCUUUUUUCUGUAGGUCGAAGCUGCCUUGCAAACAGAUCCAAGGAAUGACGAACUCUGAAAAUUAAAGGACGAUCUAGAAGAGGCCAUCAAACUCAUACGAGACUUAAUAAAAACACAAUUGCAAGAGCAGCGAAAAUCCUCGAACGUAGAACCAUCUUCUUCCACAACAGCGUCGUAAAAUUACUUCGGAGAAAUAGAAGCUGCUCUUUUAGAAGCUGAAAAAUUGGUAACAUUCGCCAAGGUAUGGAAAAUUGGAGACAAAUGCCAAGUUACAUACAAAUGUUUGUGAUCUUUGCGACAAAGGUAUUGUUGACGCCCAUAAAAUGCGAUUCCAUAAGAAACGCGAAAACCCGUUGCUUUAUACUACUAGCCAUACUAACCAUACAAUGCAUAGACAUGUCAAACAGCAAAGUCCGGCCUCAAAAUCCAAACAUUCAGUAUGAAGCCGCAUCUCGCUCAGCGCACAACGUCGCUGCGGCUGAUGCUAUUUCUUAACAUAUGUAUGUUCGUUUUAAAUCCUUACAGCCCAAAUACAUAUGUGUGUAUGCGUGUGCAGAGAGUUCCUCGCUCUCACUCGUUACUUUGCGCCCUUGUGUGCAUCUCUUUCUCCCUGCAUAGCUUCUCAAAAACCCCGAGAUCUACAAACAUACAGUGCCGCUCAACUGAAUAGGUUUGACUUCUUUUUUAGACUUAGAACAUAAUAUCUUCAUAACGAGCACUCGGAUUUAAACCAAAUAAAUUUUGUUAAGUAGAACGAUCAAUUAUUUAUAAAAUACAUAAGUUUUUUUUUGUUUGGUUUGGUUUUUAUAUUUUUUUUAUUAUAUUUUCAAAAACAUAGCUGAAAAUCUACAUCAUUUUUGGCUCAAGUGAAUCGGUUUGACCAACAAAACUAUAAAAAAAAAUUAUUCACAGCAAUAUUUUAUGGCACUUGGUAACUUAAAUAAUAAAAGACACUAUUUCUGCAUUAUUUAAUAUUUGGUAUGACCACCCUUAUUCGUAAUUAUUUCAAACAUUCAAGUUGAUAAGGAAUCGUAAUAUUUUUCAAUUUCACUCAGUGAAACAGUUGACCAGGCUUUUUUAAUCGCUUCAACCAGGGUCGCCGAAUCUUGAAAUUGUCUUCCCCCUUCAUACACUCUCCUGGAUAAAAGUCCCCAAAUGUUCUCGAUAAUAUUUAUGUCUGGGGAGUAUGGCGGCCACUCGAGCAAGUUGACAUUCUGGUCCUUAAUCCACUGUUUUGUAACCCGGGCUGUAUGGAUGGGUUCGUUGUCUUUUUGGUAAGUCCAUUGAAUAGGUCCAAAAAUUUCGGAAAACUGGGGAAAAGCCUUGUAGACAUUUGCAUUCAUCUUUGAGGAAACAAACUGCAGAUCGCAAGUUCCAUAAAACGAUAUGGCUCCCCAAACCAUUACGCCUCCUGUACAGGAGUGAUGACGACUCAAAAAGCAUUCCUCUUUUCGCAUAUCGUGAAAAUAAUAGUUGUAGCUAUCCGGUCCGUCGAGAUUGAACUUUUUUUCGUCGGAGAAGACCACAGCCUUCCACUCCUUGUUCCAUGUCAUAUGAUCCCGCGCAAAUCGAAGUCGCGCUUCCUUCCGUGCAUCAUUAAGAGGAGGUUUUUUUUUUUAUUUUUAAUCUCUUUAAGUGUUUAGCGCUCCGAAUAACUCGUUUUACCGUUGCCAAACUAGCAUUUACACUGCAUUCAUCCCUGAUUUUACUGGCAGAGAGGUGGGAAUUCGAAGCAGUUCGAAGGAUUAGUCGCCUCUCUGAUGCCGUUGUAGCAUAUUUUAUUCCUCCUUUCAUUUUUUUUCCCGUAAUCGGCUUCAUUACGAAGAAAAUUGCUUACCACGUUUUGGCUUCGACCAAUCUUCUUUGCUAUUUCAUUAUGUUAUAGGCCAGAUUCAAUAUAACCUUUAAUUUGACCUUUUUCAAAAUCGGUUAAAGAUUUUCCCCGACCCAUAUUAAAAAAAAAUGGUAGCAAUUACUUUAAAUUUAAGUAGAAAAAAUAAAUUAUGUUUUCAAUCACGCAGUCAAUCAAAAAGUGAAGUCAAAGUUGUCAAACCUAAUCAGAUGAGCCAAAAAUAGACCACACAUUUAGCGAAUUUCACGAUGAAAGCAAAAUUCUGAUUUACCGUUGCUUAGAACCCUUUACAUUUUUGUUGUCAUAUUAUGAGUAAAGAAAUGAAUGUUCAAAACAAAAAAGAAAGAAGGAAAAAAUGCCAUAGGAACAAAGAGAGAAGACAAAAUAAAAGAAAUAUUUUUCAAACCUAUUCAGUUGAGCGGCACUGUACAUAUGUUUGUGUUGUGUGGAUGUGCGCACAAGUAGAUCACGGCGUUUGUCGCGAGACAGAGAUAUUUUUUUCAAUUGCGUGUCUUGUGUGUGUGGUAGCAAAAGGCACACACAUUCAAAUACUCUAUCAUGUAUUUCUUGGUCCAGUCAGGCAUAAUGAGAAGAAUCUGAUCUAUUUUCAUUUAAUAAACUUAAAUGACUCAAAUGUA